UCGAGGAUCUUCGGCAAUGCGCGCAAGCGCGACCGAGCGACGCCGCGUGGGCGAUGAAGGCCUUCGGGUUGUAAAGCCCUGUCGAGGGGGAGAAAAGCCGAAAGGUGUGAUCUAUCCCUGGAGGAAGCUCGGGCUAAGUUCGUGCCAGCAGCCGCGGUAAGACGAACCGAGCGAACGUUGUUCGGAAUCACUGGGCUUAAAGGGUGCGUAGGCGGGCUGCCAAGUUUGAGGUGAAAUCCUCCGGCUCAACCGGGGAAGUGCCUUGAAUACUGGCGGUCUGGAGGGGGGUAGGGGCGUGCGGAACUAACGGUGGAGCGGUGAAAUGCGUUGAUAUCGUUAGGAACUCCGGUGGCGAAGGCGGCACGCUGGACCCUCACUGACGCUGAGGCACGAAAGCCAGGGGAGCGAACGG
rnacentral:rRNA from 1 species